rnacentral:rRNA from 1 species
CUAGAGUAUUAAUAGAUAUAUUCUUUAAACUUAAAAAAUUUGGCGGUAUUUUAGUCUGUUCAGAGGAACUUGUUUUUUAAUCGAUAAUCCACGUUGGACCUUACUUAAUUUUAUAAAUUAGUUUGUAUACCGUCGUUAUAGAAGAUUUUAUAAGAAAAAUAAUUUUCAAUUAAUUUAAUUAAAUUUAAUAUCAGAUCAAGGUGCAGCAUAUAAUUAAGNNNNNNAUGAGUUACAAUAAAAUUAUUUAUAUGAAUAUAAAUAUGAAAAAUUUAUUGAAAUUGGAUUUGAAUGUAAAAUUAUAAAGAUAUAUAAUUUGAUUUUAGCUCUAAAAUGUGUACAUAUCGCCCGUCACUCUUAUUAAUAAGAUAAGAUAAGUCGUAA